ensembl:snRNA U5 U5 spliceosomal RNA
UUACUCUGGUUUCUCUUCAUAACGCACAAGUCUUUCGCCUUUUACUAAAGACUUCCGUGGAGAGUGACUCCAACAAGUUCAGCCUAUUUUUGGCAGGCUUUGCCGUCUGGCAGAGCU